CAAGAAAAAUAAAAAUAUGUAUUAUUUUUUUUACCAAAAAUAUUUGAUGUAUUACCUUUUAUUUUUUAUUUUUUUCCUUUAAUUUUUUUUACAACAUAUUUUCUUCAUCUACUUUUUAUUUUUUUCCACUUAAUUUUUUUACAACAUGACUUUUUUUCUCUUAGUUUUUUAAAAAAUAAAAAUGAAGCUCCAAAAGAGUAUUUCUUUCCUUUUAUUUUUUUACAACAUAAUUUUUUUUCUUUUACAUUUUUAAAAAAUAAAAAUAAAGCCCCAACGGGGAGUUGCGCACGGGAGGAAUCGACGGUGGGAAGGGCAGGCCAAAAUCCGCAAAGCUAGCCUCCUCCACCAAUUCAUCCCAUUAUGCUUACAAGGAUAUAAUAAAUAUAUACAUGCUAUUAGUUAUGCAACUCUAAUUUUGUCCCA
rnacentral:lncRNA from 1 species